rnacentral:rRNA from 1 species
AUUGAACGCUGGCGGCAGGCCUAACACAUGCAAGUCGAACGAGUGGCGGAGGGGUGAGAAAUGUGUGGGAAACUGCCUGAUGGAUGGGGAUAACUACGGGAAACGGGACCAAAUACCGCAUACUAUCGGAGGUGCCCAGCUGGGUUUAGCUUGUUGGUGGGGUAGCGGCUGACCAAGGCGACGAUCCCUAGCUGGGCUGCGAGGAGGACAAGCCACACUGGAACUGAGGGACGUGCCAGACUCCUACGGGAGGCAGCAGUGGGGAAUAUUGCACAAUGGGCGCAAGGCGGAUGCAGCCAUGCCGCGUUUGUGGAGCAGGCCUUCGGGUUGUAAAGUACUUUCAGCGCUGUGGCGGUACGCGCAGAAGAAGCACCGGCUAACUCCGUGCCAGCAGCCGCGGUAAUUC